CUCUCCACCUUCAUCUUCUUUCACUUCUCUCUCUCUCUCUCUCUCUCUCUCUCUCUCUCUCUCUCUCUCUCUGAAACUCCCCUCCCUCCUUUUUCUUCUCUCUUCCUCACAUUCGAUGCUAUUUCCCACAAAUUCUCUCUCUUUCCUGCAUGGCAAGAGGUCCCUGUCUUUCCCGCGCACAACGACGCCACCGCGGCCGCCCUUCUUAUUCCUCAACCCAAACUCCCGCCAUUUUCGACUCCCUCAAAAAAAAAAAAAAUUCUCCACUCUCAUUUAUUUCCACUUAAAUGAUGUCACUUCUAUUUGAUUUUUCGUAUUAUUUUUGUCUUUAAGGCCGUUGGAGGAGUAAGAUUCGACGGCCCGGAGAUCGAAGUCCGCGAAGUGUCCGAAACGGAGGACGGUGACUUGGUGAUCGAGGCCGGCGUCACGUGGACGCUGACUCCAGCGUUGACUCUUCCUCAAGGACUUGAAAAGAUCAGAGAGGCCGUUGAGGAGUUGAAGCUCAAUCCUCCUUCCACUUGUACCGGAAUUCAUAGGUUUCACGUAAUUAAAAAUCUCCGGUUCCAUACUGGUUUAUCGUACAAUGUGCGUUGAAUUGUGGACUUUGAUGGCGAAUUUCACAGGUGGCUGUGUCGCUGAGUGCCAAAAGCCUGAACUGGUUUUGCAUGCAGUCAACUGGAGUCGUCUGCGGUUUAUCCUCUGUUUUUCAUGGGCAAGGAUGUCGAAAACCCGAGUUAUAAAUCGCUGUACGUGAAUGAAACCCGACGAGUUUUCGGAAUUGGUACCGCGGUUCACUCUGCACCUUCAUCAUCUUCUUCUUCGUUCAAAAAGGUUAGUUCUUGUCUUUCUUUUUGCCCUCGUUGAUUUUGAUGGGACACCCAUACAAGUAGCUCAUGUUGUAGCGUCACUUGUGGAAGAAGGAUUUACUGCAGUAAAGCUGAGGGCACUAUUCUCAUCUCUCUGAACUCAUAUUGUUACCAUUACAAAUAUUCUUGUCAAUACGACUUUGUUAUUAUGCAUCAAAGAAAGUGAAGGCUUUGGUUUGUGGCUUUCCAAUGAUUUUUGCAACAGGUAGCUAUACAGGCAGUGAGAAAGAAAGUUGGAUACCGGAUUCACGUUCGUGCUGACGCCAAUCGGAACUGGACGUAUAAAGAAGCUAUCCAGUUUGGAUCCUCGGAACCUGUUCAAAAUGAAGGCGAUAUUAUCGGAUUCUGUAAAGAAAGUGGUUCACUUGUGGCACUGGAUGAAACUAUUGACAGUACUAGAGAACAUCCGCUUGAUAAGCUGGUGAAGUAUACCCAUCCGGGAAUAGUAGCUACUGUUAUUAAACCUAGCGUUGUUGGCGGCUUCGGAAAUACAGCAAUCAUUGCCCAGUGGGCACAGCAGCACCAAAAAAAUGGCUGUUGUUAGUGCUGCGUUUGAAAGUGGCCUAGGUUUGUCAGCAUAUUCAGUUUUUCUGUUAUCUCAACCAGAAGAAUUCAGAAAUCUGUGAAAUGAUGAAUUAUUCAUUGGCCCCGUCAAUAGCUCAUGGUUUAGGAGCUUACCGCUGGCUAGAAGAAGAUGUAACGGCUAACGACCACUCCUCUCAAGAUAGGCUGUAAUCCAUAUAGUGGCUUCGUAGAAGCAUCGUUGCUGAUCGAGUUCUUGAAAAAUUUCAAAUAAAUGGCAACCUAGUUCAUAGAAA